rnacentral:misc_RNA from 1 species
AACGCACGAGACCUGCGGACCUGCGGAAGGAUCAUUAAUGAGAAACUGCCCCCCGCGGGUAGAUCUCCCACCCUUUGUAAACUUACCUUUGUUGCUUUGGCAGGCCCGUCUCCGGACCGCCGGCUUCGGCUGGCCAGUGCCUGCCAGAGGAUUCUAAAACUCUGUCUGUCAGUGUUGUCUGAGUCUAUAUACAAUCGUUAAAACUUUUAACAACGGAUCUCUAGAUCGGAAGAGCACACG